GACGACGCUGGCGGCGUGCUUAACACAUGCAAGUCGAACGAGUGGCGAACGGGUGAGUAAUACGUGGGAACCUGCCCUUCAGAGGGGGACAACUACUGGAAACGGUAGCUAAUACCGCAUACCAUCGGAUGUGCCCAGAUGGGAUUAGCUAGUAGGUGGGGUAACGGCUCACCUAGGCGACGAUCCCUAGCUGGUCUGAGAGGAUGACCAGCCACACUGGAACUGAGACACGGUCCAGACUCCUACGGGAGGCAGCAGUGGGGAAUAUUGCACAAUGGGCGCAAGCCUGAUGCAGCCAUGCCGCGUGUAUGAAGAAGGCCUUCGGGUUGUAAAGUACUUUCAGCGAGGAGGCGUUACUCGCAGAAGAAGCACCGGCUAACUCCGUGCCAGCAGCCGCGGUAAUAC
rnacentral:rRNA from 1 species